GAGGCCAAACCUCAACGAGUUAACUCUACGUUCAACUCCAAGACAUAGAUUGGUUCAAUAUAGUACGAAUCGAUUUAACAACCUCUCUGGUGAUUGGAA
rnacentral:sRNA from 1 species